GAUGAAUGCUGGCGGCGUGCCUAAUACAUGCAAGUCGAGCGAACGGACGAGAAGCUUGCUUCUCUGAUGUUAGCGGCGGACGGGUGAGUAACACGUGGAUAACCUACCUAUAAGACUGGGAUAACUUCGGGAAACCGGAGCUAAUACCGGAUAAUAUUUUGAACCGCAUGGUUCAAAAGUGAAAGACGGUCUUGCUGUCACUUAUAGAUGGAUCCGCGCUGCAUUAGCUAGUUGGUAAGGUAACGGCUUACCAAGGCAACGAUGCAUAGCCGACCUGAGAGGGUGAUCGGCCACACUGGAACUGAGACACGGUCCAGACUCCUACGGGAGGCAGCAGUAGGGAAUCUUCCGCAAUGGGCGAAAGCCUGACGGAGCAACGCCGCGUGAGUGAUGAAGGUCUUCGGAUCGUAAAACUCUGUUAUUAGGGAAGAACAUAUGUGUAAGUAACUGUGCACAUCUUGACGGUACCUAAUCAGAAAGCCACGGCUAACUACGUG
rnacentral:rRNA from 1 species